AGCCUUUUAGUUUAACGGUAGAACAUCAUCCUUCUAAGAUGAGAAUAUUGGUUCAAUUCCAAUUUAGGCUU
rnacentral:tRNA from 1 species